rnacentral:rRNA from 1 species
GAUGAACGCUGGCGGCGUGCUUAACACAUGCAAGUCGAACGGUGAAGGCGGAGCUUGCUCUGCUGGAUCAGUGGCGAACGGGUGAGUAACACGUGAGCAAUCUGCCCCUGACUCUGGGAUAAGCGCUGGAAACGGCGUCUAAUACUGGAUACGAGCUGCGAAGGCAUCUUCAGCAGCUGGAAAGAACUUCGGUCAGGGAUGAGCUCGCGGCCUAUCAGCUUGUUGGUGAGGUAACGGCUCACCAAGGCGUCGACGGGUAGCCGGCCUGAGAGGGUGACCGGCCACACUGGGACUGAGAAACGGACCAGACUCCUACGGGAGGCAGCAGUGGGGAAUAUUGCACGAUGGGCGAAAGCCUGAUGCAGCAACGCCGCGUGAGGGACGACGGCCUUCGGGUUGUAAACCUCUUUUAGCAGGGAAGAAGCGAAAGUGACGGUACCUGCAGAAAAAGCGCCGGCUAACUACGUG